AGUCGUAACAAGGUAACCGUAGGUGAACCUGCGGUUGGAUCAUUACCUAUUUUAACUGGGACUACCUUUGGGUAGGACCUAUAGCUUCGCCUAGUUAUUUUGACUAGGCUGAGGCGAAACCCUAUGUGAACUUGUUCUUAUAAUGGUGGGUUAACUGUUGACUAUUCUCUCUAGGGAGUCUAGGUAGCAAGUGGCCCUCCCUUUAUAAACAUUGACCAUAGACAGUCUUCUUUUACUAGGACUUGGUUUUACCGGAACUAGUGGUAAGAGACUAGAGAAUACAAGAGAAAUCAUAUUAAAAAGUAAACAACUUUUGACAACGGAUCUCUUGGCUCUC
rnacentral:misc_RNA from 1 species